ACUGGACCAAUAUGAACCGCCAUCUUUUAUUCCAGAGCUGUCUUUCUAGUAUUCGUACAAAAUCUUGAACGAAAAAGUUUCGGUUUGUCACAUUGGCGGCUACUGUAGCUGUGUCUUCAUCACAUUACUUAUCGUGAAUAAGUACAAUGACGAAUAUGGCCUACAGCUUUUGUUCCAUUUUAUAAGUUGUUGUCCCAACCAUGCCAACUACCUUGCUGCUCUUUUGUCAGGCUCCCACUGCUGCAGUGUACAACAUGCAUUACACGAGCUUCUUAUUCCAUGUGUUCAAGAGCUGUUUACUUCCACAUAGCUGACAAGAUAUCAGUGUAGUGCAGUUCUCCAAUGGCAGUACCCCAAUGUCUGAGUUGUAGAUUUCAUUGUUCGUGCCACGGUAUAGUAUAUUUAUUGCAGUGUAUGUGAAGCCUGCCGGUACCUGUAUCAGGCUGGUUUGAAAAAUUCUGCAGCGAGAAGUGGCAAGAACAGUGCGGUCACCUAGGGAGCUCCACGGACAGAUCAUGACUGCAAAGCGGCGCCAGCAGUUGCUGCUGUCACGAGUUGCUUUCAGGAGUACACUGCCACGAAGCCCAGCCGCAAAGGCAGAAGUCUGACUGAGUGAAUUGAUCCAAUUAACGGCUACUUGGCUGACUUCCUAAAAAGGCUCAAACACUCACGUCUCAUCCCAUCAUCUUGCGGACUGCCACACAUACCCAUGCCAUACAGCAAGGUCGGGGGCCAUACAGGCUAUGGACUCCAUAGGAGGCCAUACAGUGUACGGACUGCCAUAGGAGGCCAUUCAGUGUACGGACUGCCAUAGGAGGCCAUUCAGUGUACGGACUGCCAUAGGAUGCCAUACAGCGUACGG